rnacentral:rRNA from 1 species
AGAACGAACGCUGGCGGCAGGCCUCAAACAUGCAAGUCUAGGGGGUGUAGCGAUACAUCACCGGCGGACGGGUGCGUAACACGUGGGAAUAUACCUUUUGGUUCGGAACAACGCAGGGAAACUUGCGCUAAUACCGAAUGUGCCCUUACGGGGAAAGAUUUAUCGCCAAAGGAUUAGCCCGCGUAGGAUUAGCUAGUUGGUGAGGUAAUGGCUCACCAAGGCUCCGAUCCUUAGCUGUUCUGAGAGGAAGAUCAGCCACACUGGGACUGAGACACGGCCCAGACUCCUACGGGAGGCAGCAGUUGGGAAUCUUGGACAAUGGGGGAAACCCUGAUCCAGCCAUGCCGCGUGAGUGAUGAAGGCCUUCGGGUUGUAAACUCUUUCGACGGGGACGAUAAUGACGGUACCGUAGAAGAAGCUCCGGCUAACUUCGUGCCAGCAGCCGC